GAUGAACGCUGGCGGCGUGCCUAAUACAUGCAAGUCGAGCAAAUUUUUCACUUCGGUGAAAAGUUAGCGGCGGACGGGUGAGUAACACGUAGGUAACCUGCCUGAUAGAUUGGGAUAACAUCGAGAAAUCGGUGCUAAUACCGGAUAUUUCAUCUUUACCGCAUGGUAGAAAUGAGAAAGGGGGCUUUUAGCUCUCACUAUCAGAUGGACCUGCGUCGCAUUAGCUAGUUGGUGAGGUAACGGCUCACCAAGGCGACGAUGCGUAGCCGACCUGAGAGGGUGAUCGGCCACACUGGGACUGAGACACGGCCCAGACGCCUACGGGAGGCAGCAGUAGGGAAUCUUCCACAAUGGACGAAAGUCUGAUGGAGCAACGCCGCGUGAGUGAUGAAGGCCUUCGGGUCGUAAAGCUCUGUUGUUAGGGAAGAACAAGUGCUAGAAUAAUACGCUAGCACCUUGACGGUACCUAACCAGGAAGCCACGGCUAACUACGUGCCAGCAGCCGCCGUAAU
rnacentral:rRNA from 1 species